rnacentral:rRNA from 1 species
UAGGGAAUCUUCCACAAUGGACGCAAGUCUGAUGGAGCAACGCCGCGUGAGUGAAGAAGGUCUUCGGAUCGUAAAACUCUGUUGUAAGAGAAGAACGUGUGUGAGAGUGGAAAAUUCACACAGUGACGGUAACUUACCAGAAAGGGACGGCUAACUACGUGCUAG